UUAACUCCAUUAAACAGACGAACACAACAAGGAAGAGAUUCUGCUUCAUCUCCUUAGGUCGACAGAUUCAUUCAAGAGUCGACGGAAAUUUUAAGGGAAGGUCGAUGAGUGUGCAGUCAGGAGAUCAAUCUCCUACUUUGUGAAACAUGAUUUGAGAAAUUGUUGGCCCAAUUUUUAUAGCAAAGGAGCUCGAAAUGUUUGGAUGCAUUUAGCCGGAGGCUACUUACCAGCGCCGGGGAGUUUGCCAUUCGACCUGGUUUUUUUUUUCCACGGCCACUGAAAUCGAAAGGGAACAGAAGAAGGAGGUGCAAGAUUAUGAACUGCGAGAAUGGACAUGUGGUGUAUAUGUGCUAGGGUUUGCCGAGGACAGAAAUGGAAAUACAAAAAUUUAUUAAGGAUAGAAAUGGAAAGAUGUAUUAAACUCA